AGCGGGAGGAGCAGAGAGGAGACGACGGGACGGAGAACUCAAACAUUUGGAAUGAGGUUGAUUUGGUCCUUAACAAGAGGACAAUGGUCUGCUGGAGUGUAAUGAGAGCUCUCACAUCACAGGACCUCUUGGUGGUUUCUGUCUCGCUGCAGCUCGUCGAUCCGGAGGACGGCUGCCGGCGGUAAUUGGCUCUUGAGCUGUUGUCUCUUUGAGGAGACGCUGUGAGAGUGUCUUAAGGACGGUCUCGAGUGCGUCGGUCCCUCUGGAGGAGCCUUUAGUCAACUGCCUGAUGAGACCACUUCUCCUCGUCUUUGAUCCUGGACCAGCGGAGACGAUUGAGACCGCAGCCGCUUGGAUUCAUUGACGAAUUAGUUCAUUUAUUUAAAGUUACCGUGAGGAGUUGGUUCUGAAUCAGAGUCAGUUUAGUCCUGAUCCUCCGUAGACCCCGUAGAAGAUCCUUAAGCAGAGACGGCGCACCGGGGACAGACCCAGACGCUUCUCCUCUCUGGAGGACCAGGACGUGGUGAUGGAGUGAAGGGAGGCCCGGGAGAACCAGACCCGGGACUGAGAGGAGCUGACUGUGGAACCCUGCGGUAGAACGAGGGGUUCUGAAGGGACCGUGCUGGUAGGGACACUACCACUUCCGUCCACAGGGGGCGCCAGAGUCAACUGCAUGAGCGUCCAGCAGCUGAAAAGCGGCGUUUUUUUGUGCGGUUUUCCCUCUUUUCACGACGAACUUCAGUCCUCCCGGAGAACAAGACGAGAAAAGCACUUCAGUGGUCGGUUCAGAAGCUGCCUGGACCGUUGGAUUCUCUGUGCUGUCCUUCCUUCCACGUCCACUGGAUUGGACUCUGCAUUGUCUCCCACUGGUUCGCCUACAGAAAGCAGAAUGAGACCAGCCUAAAUGUCCUCACUCUGAAGGUCUCAGAUGAGCAAUGGUCCUCAGAUGGAGGGCAGGACGAGCACACACACACACACACACACCUCCGGCGGGAGCAGACUAAACAGAACACGGACGUCCUCCAUGAAGUCAAAGUUUACAUAAUGUCCAAUGUGAGUCGCUUGAACAAAAACUGGACAAAAAACAAACAGAGUCUCAUAUUCCUUUUUCACAACACGCUCAUCAUUUAUUCAGAAACGAGAAACAGUCUGUGAAAGAACGCGUUCCCAUUCUUAUUAUCUUACUUGUAAUUACGGAGAAAACGUGUCACGUCUUUGUGGCAGCGGCCGUUAAAUGGGACGAUCGGGCCUCACAAUGGGAGCCUCUCUCUCUUUCGGGGGGGGGGGGGGCGGGCGAGGGGGGGCUGGCUCGCUGCCAAGAAUAUGGCUGUUGGUUUAGCCGCUGAUCCCUGGAAGUGGCGGCUGCAGGACGCAGGCCGGCGUGACUGACAGGAAAUGGGCGCCGGUUUUCACAUUUUUAUUUUCCGCCUCUUCAGCGGGAACGAAGCUCUAAACGAGGGAUUCUGAGAGCACCACCCGCGCGGAGCUACGUCUUUAUAGCUGGUUACUCCCAGGCGGGGAUAUAACAACCCACCCUAAAAUAAAGCCCCCCGAAGGGUCCCUCUCAUCCAUUCAUGCACUAACCUCCUGCAGACACACAGGCGGGCUCCAUUAAAGCGCCCGGGGUCCAACGCUCUCUUGAAUCUACAAUCGAUUGCUCUUCCUUGGGUUCCCGGAUGUUGCGGUUCGAAUUUUUUUGUAUUAAAUUGUUGCAUUGAAUUUUUUUGCAUUGAAUUUUUUGCGGUUGAAUUUUUUGCAGUUGAAUAUUUUAACGUUGAAAAACAUUCAGAUACAUGAUUUCAAUGCAUAAAUAUUCAGUGCUAGAAAUUCAAUCACCUUUUUCUUUCAAAAUCCAAUGACACAGAUUUACUUCCAUACAAGUGGAGACGUUAUUUUCGCAGC
ensembl:lncRNA